UACGUAGGUGGCAAGCGUUGUCCGGAUUUACUGGGCGUAAAGAGCGCGCAGGCGGUCGCUCAAGUCGCGUGUGAAAGCCCCCGGCUCAACUGGGGAGGGUCACGCGAUACUGAUCGACUCGAAGGCAGGAGAGGGUAGUGGAAUUCCAGGUGUAGCGGUGAAAUGCGUAGAUAUCUGGAGGAACACCGGUGGCGAAGGCGGCAUCCUGGACCGGUAUUGACGCUGAGGCGCGAAAGCCAGGGGAGCAAACGGG
rnacentral:rRNA from 1 species